rnacentral:lncRNA from 1 species
UAAUACUCUACUUCUUCCUUUUGGAAAGUUUCUAGCAUUGUAGCUAGACCUCAGAAUAUGAAAUACAUAUGUUAUAAUACAGUUCUGUGAGGCCCAGCUGCACACAGGAUUGAGCUAUUGUCCAUAUUGUAUGAGGUAGACAUUGUAGAAUUGAUAGCAUAUUUUUCCUCAUCAUUACUUGACCAUCUGUGGUGUGACAUUAGAAUUCACUUUGAUAUCAAACUAUACUACAUAUAGGUACAUUAUUGUAUCCAGAAAUCAAAAACACAUGUUAUGUUCUGAAAAAAUUAUAGCUUUUGAUAUGAUUAUAUCAUUCAUUCUCAGAGAGAUGUAAAUACAAGGAAAUAUAUGACUAUUUUAAUACCUAUAUUUUGUACUUACAUUGUAAAGUAACAAGUACAUACUUUAAUAUUACAGGGUUUCUUAACCUUCAAAGAUGUGGCUCCAGAGUUCACACUAGAGGAAUGGGAAAGUCUCAAUUAUGCUCAGCGGGCACUGUACAUGGAUGUGAUUUUGGAGACGUACAACAAUCUACUGUCUGUGGAAAAUCAUCUGAUACGUGGAAAACAUGGGAAGGUCUUGGAACAAUACACAGAGUGCAUUGUCCAUGAGCAUGUGAAUAUCCAAAAGAAGUUUUGUAAAUGGGAUGAAAUUAGCAAAAUGACUCUUGAAUCCACCCAAAGUACACCUUAUAAAACUCAUCUCCAAGAUCCCUCUCUUCAGUCCUCAAACCUGGAAAGACAUAAAGCUGGCAAAAUGAGAGAAGUUUACAAAUAUAAAGACUUUGUACAGUUUUCUAAUGAAUGUGCUAUCAUUGGUGUAAGUUCCGGAAUGCACACAGAGAACAAAGAACACAAAAAUACAGAAUUUGAUAAGAA